rnacentral:tRNA from 1 species
AGAAAGGUAAGCUAAGGUAAGCUAGUGGGUUCAUACCCCAUUUAUGGAGUUGCUCCUCUUUCUG